GCCUGGGUGGCUUAGUCGGUUAAGCGUCCAACUUCAGCUCGGGUCAUGAUCUCUCGGGUCAUGAUCUCACAGUUUGUGAGUUCAAGCCCCACAUCAGGUU
rnacentral:tRNA from 1 species